GCGCAUGCGCAAACUGCGAUUCUGCGUGGAAGAGAGCGGCCUUCCUGAGCGCGUUCCUCGGGGCGUGAGGUGGACCUUGACAUCAAAGGAGCAAGAGGUAACAGGAGGGGCAGUGCAGCAAAGGACAAAGAAGCAGACACACCUCACCUAGACUGACAUGUCAGCUCUACAUCCUAUGAACCAGAUGACCUCAAGCAGUGACAUCCUCUCCUAUGGCAAUUAUGAAGAUAGAAGGAAAUGUUUAUGACACACCUAGCAUAGUGGUAUGUACCAUGACUAGGAUGCUGGUACUAGGUCAUCCCAAUUUUAUGGAUGUGGACACGGCUCAGUGGAAGUCAUGAAAAAAUUAUGAGGAACUGAGGCUUGUUGAAACUUCCCUUGGUUCAGGAUUAUAUUGAAGGUCAAAGAGUGAGCCUAGAAGAAACAAGAAAACUCUGAUAACUGGGUGCGCACAGGGGGAGCCAAGCUCUCCUUGCACCUGUCAGCGGGAGCCACCUUUCUGUCCAGGAGCUCAGGAAGACGCUGGUGCUGGUCACCCACAAUAUUCUCCCCUGCCUCUGCCGCCUCAGCACAUAAACAGGUUGUGAAACAACCUGGGCAGUGACUCAGCCUGGGGCCUGUUCUGCUGGUCAGUGCAGGCAGGCUGGGCUGUUUGGUUGAGCCUUGAAAGGACAUCGUGUCUAACAAACAUGUUGCUUGUCAAAGCCCUGACGGGGGUGCCAAGCAGACACUGUGAACUCUGGUCCCUGAGGCGUCACAGAUGACUGAACUGGGGUGCCUGAGUUACAUACAACAUGUCUUGGUUGUUAUUCUGGUCUAACAGCCACCCGGGGCCAAUGUCAUGAAGAGGGGAAUGUGUUAGAGGGUGAAGAGUCCCUAUUUCUCAAGGGGCAGCUUGAUGGAGUGACCGUGGGCCUGAGAUUUUGGUGUCCACAUUAUGAAGAUCUGAGUUCAGAUUCUGACUCUGCUGCUUAUUAUCCUUAUGACCUUGGGCAGGUGGCUUACUCUUGCUAGGGUUCAAUGUCCUUAUUCUCUAGAAUGCCCUUCUCACAAAGUUCCUGCUGUGGUGCAGCGGAAAAGAAUCUGAUUAGUAUCCAUGAGGAUGUAGGUUU